rnacentral:rRNA from 1 species
GAUCAUGGCUCAGGACGAACGCUGGCGGCGCGCCUAACACAUGCAAGUCGAACGGAGCUUAAAUAGCUUGCUUUUUAAGCUUAGUGGCGAACGGGUGAGUAACGCGUGAGUAACCUGCCCUGGAGUGGGGGACAACAGUUGGAAACGACUGCUAAUACCGCAUAAGCCCACGGAUCCGCAUGGAUCUGCGGGAAAAGGAUUUAUUCGCUUCAGGAUGGACUUGCGUCCAAUUAGCUAGUUGGUG